AGCGAACGCUGGCGGCAGGCCUAACACAUGCAAGUCGAACGAACCUUUCGGGGUUAGUGGCGGACGGGUGAGUAACACGUGGGAACGUGCCUUUAGGUUCGGAAUAACUCAGGGAAACUUGUGCUAAUACCGAAUGUGCUCUUCGGGGGAAAGAUUAAUCGCCUUUAGAGCGGCCCGCGUCUGAUUAGCUAGUUGGUUGAGGUAAUGGCUCACCAAGGCGACGAUCAGUAGCUGGUCUGAGAGGAUGAUCAGCCACAUUGGGACUGAGACACGGCCCAAACUCCUACGGGAAGCAGCAGUGGGGAAUCUUGCGCAAUGGGCGAAAGCCUGACGCAGCCAUGCCGCGUGAAUGAUGAAGGUCUUAGGAUUGUAAAAUUCUUUCACCGGGGACGAUAAUGACGGUACCCGGAGAAGAAGCCCCGGCUAACUUCGUG
rnacentral:rRNA from 1 species